rnacentral:misc_RNA from 1 species
UCAAACUUGGUCAUUUAGAGGAAGUAAAAGUCGUAACAAGGUUUCCGUAGGUGAACCUGCGGAAGGAUCAUUACGAAUGGCCGCCACGAACCCCGUACGGGGGGGGCUGUCGCGGAUCGUUUACACACAGCCGGCCGGUCCGUCACGGAUCCGGUCAAAGUGUCCACCCCCUUGUGAAACUUUGAAUUAUGCUUCGGCAGCACCCCGGGCACUUAAAACCUGUCGGGGGGUAAGGCUGCCGGAAGCCUCAUACCUAAAACCAGUCUAUGGAAUGUCAUGCUGUCUUAGGAAAGAAAACUGUUUGAGAAAUCAAAUAUCUUUAAAACUUUCAGCAACGGAUCUCUUGGUUCCCGCAUCGAUGAAGAACGCAGC